AAGUCGUAACAAGGUUUCCGUAGGUGAACCUGCGGAAGGAUCAUUAACACGUUUUUACGUAUUAUCAACCAACUGUGCAUUCUAUUUAUUUGUCUUCGGAUAAAUAAAUUGUUUUUCACAUUUUUCACCAAAUGUCAUAUGCAUUAGUUGUUCUAAUAGUUGGAAUAUUGAUUUAUUCUCUCUAUUGUUCUUAUAUAUUAUUAAUUUAAUAGUAUCUAACAACUCUUAGCAAUGGAUAUCUUGGUUCUC
rnacentral:misc_RNA from 1 species